GAAGACGUUCGUGUGGAUACCAUAGAGGGUUUUCGUUUGAAAAAGCAGCACCAUCAGUCCAACAUUGUAUAUUUUCGACGAGAUUAACAGGUUAAUCUCAUAUUCUUCUUGUGAAUUAAACGAAGCACUCGGAUUCUGGGAAAGGAAAUCCAAAAUUUUAUUCUUCCACUGCGCCUUUGGGUUGCAAUAAUCUCUGAAUUUCCCAACAGUGGUCUCAGAGCCAACC
rnacentral:lncRNA from 1 species